CCCAACGACUUAAAAGCGCUGUCGUUUUAUUUCGCUGCAAUUCUAGUUAAAAAAAAAUCCACACUGAAGGAGAUUAAAGAUCUUGUGAUCAAAAACGUGAUGUUUUGCGUGACGGUUCCGCCGCGACGUAGACGGGGCUCUGCCAUUGUUAUCCCUGCUAACGUUGCCGCGUCCCUUGCCGUGCCCCUUGCACUGCCUGCUGCUCCUGUUUGGCUCCUGUUUUGGCCCCUGCUGCAGCCGGAAUUGUGCGGCCUCGAGCGUACUUCAACCCCGGGGCCGGGGGCGACUGCAUUGAUGCGGAUAUAGAUUUCGAAAUCGAAAUGGAACCCAAGCGAAGAAGUCCACGCAGUCUAAGAUCCUAACCGUCACAACGGAAGAGUGAUUGAGAGGAUGUAUGAAAGCAAUCUUUCCUUAAAAGCACAUGUCUGGAGAACAGAAAGCUGCAUACCCGGAAUAUCUCCACUAUGUCCGGCGCCUCACCACCUCGAUGGAAGACAACGUCAUCUCAGAGAGCGUCUGCCGCCAUUACGAUGACAAGGGCAAGAGCUACGGCGUUGCCUUGUUUGCCAAUCAUUGAAUACAGAAUAACACAUA